CUUUCUCUACAAUUUAGUCCACACAUGAUUCACUAAUUCAGCACCUUGGCUUCUUCCUUUUGAGUGCUCUAAAGAACAAAAAAAAUUUGAUCCUUUGAAUCAUCCAAUAAACUUAUAAAACAGUAAUAAAAAAUAAUAAAAAAAAUAAAAAAUAAACAUUGGGUAAACUUGAUUCACCAUAAAACUAUUCUGAUGAUGAUCAUGAUGUAUCUGGAUAAAGUAGUAGAACGCAUGGGAUAAAGCUUAGUGCUACUCUCUCUCUCUAACAAAAAAAAAAAAAAAAAAAAAAAAAAAAAAAAGAGGGAAAA
rnacentral:lncRNA from 1 species